AGAGAAGCUGCUGUCCUUCCACCACCAGCACCGGACCACCUGCUCCAAGACCAGCCUCCUGGGGGGACCAGGCACCCGGCCUUCACUGGCACCCAGGGAGCCGUCCUCAGCAGCGUCAACAUGUCAAGGCCCAGCAGCAGAGCCAUUUACUUGCACCGGAAGGAGUACUCCCAGAACCUCACCUCAGAGCCCACCCUCCUGCAGCACAGGGUGGAGCACGCCUGUGGUCCACCUCUCUGAGCUUUCUCCCAGUCCUAGGACUCCCCCUCUCCCUGCAGCACUUGAUGACAUGCAAGCAGGGGAGUCAGAGAGUCCAGGGGCCCGAGGAUGCCUUGCAGAAGCUGUUCGAGAUGGAUGCACAGGGCCGGGUGUGGAGCCAAGACUUGAUCCUGCAGGUCAGGGACGGCUGGCUGCAGCUGCUGGACAUUGAGACCAAGGAGGAGCUGGACUCUUACCGCCUAGACAGCAUCCAGGCCAUGAAUGUGGCGCUCAACACAUGUUCCUACAACUCCAUCCUGUCCAUCACCGUGCAGGAGCCGGGCCU
rnacentral:lncRNA from 1 species